rnacentral:rRNA from 1 species
GAUGAACGCUAGCGGCAGGCCUAACACAUGCAAGUCGAGGGGCAGAAUAAAAAUUCAUCAAUGAGUUUUGGUGGCGACUGGCGGACGGGCGCGUAACGCGUCUGCAACCUACCUUUAUCUGCGGGACUACGGAGAGAAAUCUCCACUAAUACCCCAUAAUACCAGAAGAGGCAUCUCUUACGCUUGAAAUCUCCGGAGGUUAAAGAUGCGCGUGCGUUGUAUUAAGUAGGUGGUGGGGUAAUGGCUCACCAAGCCUACGAUACAUAGGGGGACUGAGAGGUUAGCCCCCCACACUGGUACUGAGACACGGACCAGACUCCUACGGGAAGCAGCAGUGAGGAAUAUUGGUCAAUGGGGGCAACCCUGAACCAGCCAUGCCGCGUGGAGGAAUACGGCUCUAUGAGUUGUAAACUGAUUUUGUACAGGGAUAAAUCGGGGAACGUGUUCCCCGCUGAAGGUACUGUACGAAUAAGGAUCGGCUAACUCCGUGCCAGCAGCCGCCGCGG